GGAGGGAAAGGAGGAGAAGGAGGACAGGGGUGUCACGUGCCAUGCCAUAUAUGGAGAUGUGUAUCAGCCGGUGGCAUCCCCUCACCUUUAAAGAGAGGGACAGGCUAGCGGUUUUUCGAAGAGAAAGUGACGUGCAUGCGCUGAACUACGGCUCCGUCCUUCUGAGCGGAGGGGGUGGUGAAGAUUGUACAGUAUUGUGGGAGAGUUUUGAGAGAGAGCGCACGCCCCGCCGACCGUUCCUGUUUCGGAGUGGAACGACCGCGACCCAAGGAGGACGAGAGUGCGCAUGAGUACAGGAGUGUCCAGACCUAAAAUUCUGAAUAGACAGCCUUUUUGAUCGCCGUUUUACUCUGCGCUUCUCUCGUUCGCGCGCGGGAACUGCAACAGCGGGGUCUGCUUACAGGGAGCAGUGUUGAGAUCCAGGAGUUUGUUGUUGUAGUCUCGACAGUCUCUGAAGCAGGAGGAAACCUUUUCCAAACUUGCGAAUGGGGAAAUGUGGUGGUGGUGAAGCAGAUGCAGAAUUGACUAUUACUAUAUAUGUUGGAGAUCCCUGGAUGCGGACUUGAUGAAGGAUCAGCAUGAACAUGUGUGGCAGCUUCAUGGAAAAAAAUGGCAUGGCAAUUAAGAGACAGAAGGACUCAACACGUCUGUAAAUUUUUAUGAAGGUUUAUUUUCAUACGAUAUGCAGCUACUCUUAAACAUGGAUUUUGCCUUCCUUUGACUCACAAUCAUCUCUGGAAAGACUCCUUUGACUGAUAGCCUACAAUUUGGGAUGCAUUACUGGAACAUUCCUGACCUCUCUUUUCUCAGUUUUUGGUAUAUAUUGCUGUUUUAUUGUUGCUUGUAAAAUGAAAAUUAAUUAAAAGUAAUUUUAAAAAAACAAUUAACAUCACAGCCAACAGAUUUUUAGCUGCCCCAGGGUUCCCAAACUUGUGGUCCAUGAACUUUAUUCAGGUGCAACAUGUCCACAUUAAAUAUUCAUACUGAUUUUA